UUCUCUCAAACACCCGCCUCUGAAACCUCUCUUUCUCUCAAACUCUCUCGAAGGGUCUUGAAACCCUAUCUCUUCUCACCCUUCUCCGACCUCAAUCUUACCGGAGUCCAUGGCCUCUCAGGCCAUGGACGUCUUGUACUCACCUUCCUUCACCCCCAAACCAUGGGUGUUCGAGAUUUCGAGGUCCGAUCUCGAUGGGUCCGUUCAGAUCCUCUAUAGAUCUGUGGUUCUAUGGCCUCUCCGGCCUUCCUAUGACAUAUUCAAGCUUUAGGAGGAUAGCUAUGGCCAUCCCCGACUCCAGACCAGACUUUCUUCCAAGCUUUCUCAUUUAUAGGGUUUCAGAGAAACCCUAAAGCUAUUCGAGGUUCCUUCUUUUUUUAUUUGCCUAGAUCUGUGGUAAAUCUGUGCUAUCUUCAACGUUUUAAGCUUUUUCCCC
rnacentral:lncRNA from 1 species